rnacentral:tRNA from 1 species
GCGGGCGUGGUGGAAUGGUAGACACGCCAGCCUUAGGAGCUGGUGCCCUCACAGGCGUGGAGGUUCGAGUCCUCUCGCCCGCACCA